UUCGAUCAAUAUGGGAAAUGAUGUAGUCAUAAUCAUAAUAUGCUUCCAUCAUGUUAUUUACUAGGCACAAGGAAAUGAAUUCUGAACAAUUCCAUAACUUAUUUUAUAUCAUGUGUUUGUUAUAAUAUGCAGUGGAUAUAGGUAAUGGUGUCAAUGACAAAAAGCUUUAUGUUAAGUGUGCAGUGUACAUUGAUGGUGCUCCAUUUUGGCUUCCCAUGAAAACCAGGCUAGAAUUUUCUGGUCCACCCUUUUGCUGGGUGAACGUUUACAUUGAGUGCCAGAUAUGGAGACUUGACUACCAACUCUGAAAUUGCAACUGAUCAUGGGUGGGAAUGACAAAUUAGUG